rnacentral:sRNA from 1 species
AUAAGACCACUAGUAGCUGCGUUGACUUUUCAUCAAUUCUUUGAAGGCAUGGGACUUGGAAGCUGUAUAUCUCAGGCAAACUUCAAGAGAGUAUCUGUCACAGUGAUGGGAUUGUUCUUUGCAUUGACUA